GAUGAAGAACGUAGCGAAAUGCGAUAGGUAGUGUGAAUUGCAGAAUUCAGUGAAUCAUCGAAUCUUUGAACGCACAUUGCGCCCUAUGGUAUUCCGUAGGGCAUGCCUGUUCGAGCGUCAUUCAAACCUUCAAGCUCUGCUUGGUGUUGGGCGUCUGUCCUGCCUCACGGCGCGGACUCGCCUCAAAUCUAUUGGCGGCCGGCACGUUGGCUUCGAGCGCAGCAGAAACGCGAACUCGAGACCGGCGGAUCGGCUCCCAGAAGCUACCCCCAUGAAUUUGACCUCGGAUCAGGUAGGGAUACCCGCUGAACUUAAGCAUAUCAAUAAGCGGAGGA
rnacentral:misc_RNA from 1 species